rnacentral:rRNA from 1 species
AUGAAGUGCCCUUCCGAUUCCUCGGCUGGCCGUGAUCCCUGCGCUCCUCCUCCCGCUUCUGCCGGUGGCGGCUCCAGCGAGCCAGCCAAGAAGCGGCAGCGGACCUCGAGCUCGAGCCAGGCUGAGGCAUCCUCGUCCUCACAGCCUCCACCACAGCAGCCGGGGGACGCGAGAGAGGUGCCGGGUCUGGGGGACGACGUGAUAUGCGAGGUGCUGCGGCGGGUGGAGGCGCGAACGCUGGCCGCCGCGGCGUGCGUGAGCCGGGGCUGGCGGACCCUCGCGCAGGACGAGCGGCUGUGGGAGGCGCCGUGCGUGAGGGAGUGGGCCGGCCUCGGCUUCUCGGAACAGCUGCUCCGCGACGUCGUGCUCUCUUUCGGCGGCUUCCGCCGCCUGCACGCCGUCUCCAUCCGGGCCCGACGGCGGUUCGGCGUUGGCUGCGGGAACUGGCACGGCGUGCGGACGCCGGGACAGGGGAGGAGGAGGGGGGCUCCGUGGACCGACGACGAGCACAGGUUGUUCCUCUUAGGCCUGAAGACGUACGGAAAAGGGGAUUGGAGGAACAUAUCACGCAACUUCGUGCGGACGAGGACGCCGACGCAGGUGGCCAGCCACGCGCAGAAGUACUUUAUCAGGCUCAGCUCAGGGGCGGCAAGGAGGUCGAGCAUCCACGACAUCACCACAGUUCACCUGACAGACGACCAGCCUCCCUCGCCGUCCCAGUGA